UGAACGCUGGCGGCGUGCCUAAUACAUGCAAGUCGAGCGAACAGACGAGGAGCUUGCUCCUCUGACGUUAGCGGCGGACGGGUGAGUAACACGUGGAUAACCUACCUAUAAGACUGGGAUAACUUCGGGAAACCGGAGCUAAUACCGGAUAAUAUAUUGAACCGCAUGGUUCAAUAGUGAAAGACGGUUUUGCUGUCACUUAUAGAUGGAUCCGCGCCGCAUUCGCUAGUUGGUAAGGUAACGGCUUACCAAGGCAACGAUGCGUAGCCGACCUGAGAGGGUGAUCGGCCACACUGGAACUGAGACCCGGUCCAGACUCCUACGGGAGGCAGCAGUAGGGAAUCUUCCGCAAUGGGCGAAAGCCUGACGGAGCAACGCCGCGUGAGUGAUGAAGGUCUUCGGAUCGUAAAACUCUGUUAUUAGGGAAGAACAAAUGUGUAAGUAACUAUGCACGUCUUGACGGUACCUAAUCAGAAAGCCACGGCUAACUACGUG
rnacentral:rRNA from 1 species